GACGAACGCUGGCGGCGUGCUUAACACAUGCAAGUUGAACGGGCAUACAUGGAAGCUUGCUGAAGUGUAUGUUAGUAGCGGACGGGUGAGUAAUGCAUGAGGACCUGCCUUCUGGAGGGGGACAACAGUUGGAAACGGCUGCUAAUACCCCGUACGCCGAGAGGUGAAAGGAAUGGAGACAUUCCGCCGGGAGAGGGACUCAUGUCCUAUCAGCUGGUUGGUGAGGUAACGGCUCACCAAGGCGACGACGGGUAGCCGGCCUGAGAGGGCGACCGGCCACACUGGAACUGAGAGACGGUCCAGACUCCUACGGGAGGCAGCAGUGGGGAAUAUUGGGCAAUGGGGGCAACCCUGACCCAGCGACGCCGCGUGAGGGAAGAAGGCCUUCGGGUCGUAAACUUCUUUUGUACGGGAAGAAGCAGAUGACGGUACCGUACGAAUAAGUCCCGGCUAACUACGUGCCAGCAGCCGCAGUAAGAC
rnacentral:rRNA from 1 species